UAGGGAAUCUUCGGCAAUGGGGGGAACCCUGACCGAGCAACGCCGCGUGAGUGAAGAAGGUUUUCGGAUCGUAAAGCUCUGUUGUUAAGGAAGAACGAGUGUGAGAAUGGAAAGUUCAUGCUGUGACGGUACUUAACCAGAAAGGGACGGCUAACUACGUGCCAGCAGCCGCGGUAAUACGUAGGUCCCGAGCGUUGUCCGGAUUUAUUGGGCGUAAAGCGAGCGCAGGCGGUUAGAAAAGUCUGAAGUGAAAGGCAGUGGCUCAACCAUUGUAGGCUUUGGAAACUAAUAAACUUGAGUGCAGGAGAGAAAAGUGGAAUUCCUAGUGUAGCGGUGAAAUGCGUAGAGAUUAGGAGGAACACCGGUGGCGAAAGCGGCUUUUUGGCCUGCAACUGACACUGAGGCGCGAAAGCGUGGGGAGCAAACAGG
rnacentral:rRNA from 1 species